rnacentral:rRNA from 1 species
GCGGAGGAUCAUUAUCGA